rnacentral:rRNA from 1 species
GACGAACGCUGGCGGCGUGCUUAACACAUGCAAGUCGAGCGAUGAAACUUCUUCGGAAGUGGAUUAGCGGCGGACGGGUGAGUAACACGUGGGUAACCUGCCUCAUAGAGGGGAAUAGCCUUUCGAAAGGAAGAUUAAUACCGCAUAGGUAGUACUUUCGCAUGAUUGUACUAUUAAAGGAGCAAUCCGCUAUGAGAUGGACCCGCGUCGCAUUAGCUAGUUGGUGAGGUAACGGCUCACCAAGGCGACGAUGCGUAGCCGACCUGAGAGGGUGAUCGGCCACAUUGGGACUGAGACACGGCCCAGACUCCUACGGGAGGCAGCAGUGGGGAAUAUUGCACAAUGGGGGAAACCCUGAUGCAGCAACGCCGCGUGAGUGAUGACGGUCUUCGGAUUGUAAAGCUCUGUCUUUAGGGACGAUAAUGACGGUACCUAAGGAGGAAGCCACGGCUAACUACGUGCCAGCCGCCGCGGUAAAAC